rnacentral:lncRNA from 1 species
GCCUGGGGGUAGGUCUGGCUUUCCUCAGGCCUCCCUUUGUGAGGCCUCUCUGCAGAGAGGAUAAAGCCUCAGUCAGAGAAGACACCUGUGCUGGCCAGAUUGAGUUUUUGCCAUUUGGAAUCCUUGGUAAGAAC